AUUGAACGCUGGCGGCAGGCUUAACACAUGCAGGUCGAGCGGAGCGAAGGUGCUUGCACCUUAGCUUAGCGGCGGACGGGUGAGUAAUGCUUAGGAAUCUGCCUAUUAGUGGGGGACAACGUUUCGAAAGGAACGCUAAUACCGCAUACGUACUACGGGAGAACGCAGGGGAUCUUCGGACCUUGUGCUAAUACAUUAGCCUAUGUCGGAUUAGCUAGUUGGUGGGGUAAAGGACUAGCAAGGCGACGAUCUGUAGCGGGUCUGAGAGGAUGAUCCGCCACACUGGGACUGAGACACGGCCCAGACUCCUACGGGAGGCAGGAGUGGGGAAUAUUGGACAAUGGGCGAAAGCCUGAUCCAGCCAUGCCGCGUGUGUGAAGAAGGCCUUUUGGUUGUAAAGCACUUUAAGCGAGGAGGAGGAGCUUCAGGUUAAUACCCUGGAUGCUUGGACGUUACUCGCAGAAUAAGCACCGGCUAACUCUGUGCCAGCAGCCGCGGUAA
rnacentral:rRNA from 1 species